rnacentral:rRNA from 1 species
AAACGGGAGGCAGCAGUAGGGAAUCUUCCACAAUGGACGAAAGUCUGAUGGAGCAACGCCGCGUGAGUGAAGAAGGGUUUCGGCUCGUAAAACUCUGUUGUUAAAGAAGAACAUAUCUGAGAGUAACUGUUCAGGUAUUGACGGUAUUUAACCAGAAAGCCACGGCUAACUACGUGCCAGCAGCCGCGGUAAUACGUAGGUGGCAAGCGUUGUCCGGAUUUAUUGGGCGUAAAGCGAGCGCAGGCGGUUUUUUAAGUCUGAUGUGAAAGCCUUCGGCUCAACCGAAGAAGUGCAUCGGAAACUGGGAAACUUGAGUGCAGAAGAGGACAGUGGAACUCCAUGUGUAGCGGUGAAAUGCGUAGAUAUAUGGAAGAACACCAGUGGCGAAGGCGGCUGUCUGGUCUGUAACUGACGCUGAGGCUCGAAAGUAUGGGUAGCAAACAGGAUUAGAUACCCUGGUAGUCCAUACCGUAAACGAUGAAUGCUAAGUGUUGGAGGGUUUCCGCCCUUCAGUGCUGCAGCUAACGCAUUAAGCAUUCCGCCUGGGGAGUACGGCCGCAAGGCUGAAACUCAAAGGAAUUGACGGGGGCCCGCACAAGCGGUGGAGCAUGUGGUUUAAUUCGAAGCUACGCGAAGAACCUUACCAGGUCUUGACAUACUAUGCAAAUCUAAGAGAUUAGACGUUCCCUUCGGGACAUGGAUACAGUGGUGCAUGGUGUCGUCAGCUCGUGUCGUGAGAUGUUGGGUUAAGUCCCGCAACGAGCGCAACCCUUAUUAUCAGUUGCCAGCAUUAAGUUGGGCACUCUGGUGAGACUGCCGGUGACAAACCGGAGGAAGGUGGGGAUGACGUCAAAUCAUCAUGCCCCUUAUGACCUGGGCUACACACGUGCUACAAUGGAUGGUACAACGAGUUGCGAACUCGCGAGAGUAAGCUAAUCUCUUAAAGCCAUUCUCAGUUCGGAUUGUAGGCUGCAACUCGCCUACAUGAAGUCGGAAUCGCUAGUAAUCGCGGAUCAGCAUGCCGCGGUGAAUACGUUCCCGGGCCUUGUACACACCGCCCGUCACACCAUGAGAGUUUGUAACACCCAAAGC